GAUGAACGCUGGCGGCGUGCCUAAUACAUGCAAGUCGAACGCACAGCGAAAGGUGCUUGCACCUUUCAAGUGAGUAGCGAACGGGUGAGUAACACGUAGACAACCUGCCUCAAGGCUGGGGAUAACAUUUGGAAACAGAUGCUAAUACCGAAUAAAACUCAGUGUCGCAUGACACAAAGUUAAAAGGCGCUUUGGCGUCACCUAGAGAUGGAUCCGCGGUGCAUUAGUUAGUUGGUGGGGUAAAGGCCUACCAAGAAAAUGAUGCAUAGCCGAGUUGAGAGACUGAUCGGCCACAUUGGGACUGAGACACGGCCCAAACUCCUACGGGAGGCUGCAGUAGGGAAUCUUCCACAAUGGGCGAAAGCCUGAUGGAGCAACGCCGCGUGUGUGAUGAAGGCUUUCGGGUCGUAAAGCACUGUUGUAUGGGAAGAACAGCUAGAAUAGGGAAUGAUUUUAGUUUGACGGUACCAUACCAGAAAGGGACGGCUAAAUACGUGCCAGCAGCCGCCGUAA
rnacentral:rRNA from 1 species